rnacentral:rRNA from 1 species
AUUGAACGCUGGCGGCAGGCCUAACACAUGCAAGUCGAACGGUAACAGGAAGCAGCUUGCUGCUUUGCUGACGAGUGGCGGACGGGUGAGUAAUGUCUGGGAAACUGCCUGAUGGAGGGGGAUAACUACUGGAAACGGUAGCUAAUACCGCAUAACGUCGCAAGACCAAAGAGGGGGACCUUAGGGCCUCUUGCCAUCGGAUGUGCCCAGAUGGGAUUAGCUAGUAGGUGGGGUAACGGCUCACCUAGGCGACGAUCCCUAGCUGGUCUGAGAGGAUGACCAGCCACACUGGAACUGAGACACGGUCCAGACUCCUACGGGAGGCAGCAGUGGGGAAUAUUGCACAAUGGGCGCAAGCCUGAUGCAGCCAUGCCGCGUGUAUGAAGAAGGCCUUCGGGUUGUAAAGUACUUUCAGCGGGGAGGAAGGGAGUAAAGUUAGUACCUUUGCUCAUUGACGUUACCCGCAGAAGAAGCACCGGCUAACUCCGUG